rnacentral:misc_RNA from 1 species
CUAAAUAUAAAUAGGAAAAAUACAAAAUACAUUUGUAUAUUGUCUGGUGAAAAAAAAUUAUAGUACUAUAAUUUUAUAAAUUAAGAAGUUAAAAUGAACAAUUAGUGACAAUUUUUUUAGAUAGAAAAAAAAUUUUUAUAUUCCUAUAUUCAUUAAUCUUUAUAAUGUGAUUUUUUUUACAUUUUCUUAUUUUAUAAUAUUAGUUUAUUAAGUAAAAUGCAUUUUAUUAUAAAUAAAAUUAUUUUAAAAAAAUAAUAUGCGGCAGGGAAAAAAAAUAAUAACUUCAACCAGCAGUAUCAUUGAGAGGCAGAGCUCUAGCCACUGUACUCUCACCAUAUUUUUGAAGGAUCGGGAGGCCAUGAAAGCAGCGGCAUAAUGUACCCGAGUCACCCAAACUCAAAAGGAAAACGAAAAUCAUCACUAAAGCAUAACAAUCAACGCUAGAAAGAAACAACCAUGAGUAGAUCAAGACCUCACAUCCCUCUCUUCGAAGUUCGAAUCUACAACCAAAACGAAAAGCAAUAUUUACAGCCCACACGAUGGUGGGGAGGGAAAUCCACUAUUGUGCAGGAGGAGGAGGAGGAGGCCUCCUCCACUCGGAUGGAGCAGAGGAGGCCGCUAAAUCCAGGGAGACAGAGACAGACGCUCCCAGAGAAGAAACAAACAUAGAAAAAUCUCUCUCUAAGGAGAGAGAGGCCGAAGUCUCUUUAUCUGUAUACUGGGCUCUCAAUUUAAACAAAAACAAACCAUUUUUCAAAUUAAAUAUGGAUAGAUCUGCUUCCUUCAAGUAGCGAUGAAUCUACUUCCUUUUCUUGGGAAAUUCUUUCCAAUGAACACGUCUGUGAGAACUGUAUCAGACUCUAACGAGGCCUUCACUAUCUCCAAGCACUUGUUGAGAUCAAUCUUGACCUCCCGAAAGCUAGUAUCAUUGACAUUGAAUUUCUUGAGGAGAUCAACAAGAUAAAUACUUGACAGUGGGAACACCCUUAAAUCA